CAUUCCUGAGAUCCGGGGUCUGUGGCGGCGUGGCGUCAGGGGGGAGCUGCGGAUGCCUGGGGCUGGUCGCUCUCAAAUGGGACUCUCACACUUCCGCUCCGUAGGACGGGCCCUGGAGCUGCUUUUGUUGGGAACACAAGCCCACUCCUCUCCCUUAAACUGGAAUGAUCUGGUUAAGUGUGGGAAGAACAGGGUACUAAUUAUAUUAUCGUUCCUACAACUGGAUUGGUAGGUGGAGAGGGGGAAAAAAAAUCCUGCUGACGUUUCUCUCCAGUUGCUGCUAUUGAAAAUACCAGGUUGCUUCAAAGGAUUAACCGCAAGAGGAAACACGCCUGUUAGAGAAACAGUGGAGGAAGCUGCUUAGAGCACGCGAAAAAACCUGUUCGAAAAGGCACAGGAAACGUUAACACAGGGCCCGAGUGUGUGUGUUCACAGGCCAACCUUGAAUGUCUUCUGGGAGUUUCCAGAGAGGGUACGGCUGCUGCCAGGAGCUCCCCAUCUGUCUGUAGUCUUGUCCUGCAAUUGCAAUUCUGCCUCAUCCUCCCCAAGCAGGGAGAAUGGAGCCUACUGGCAGCUGGUGCCAAUGAGCUUGGGCACUCCCAGCCUCUCUUCCAGGACCUGUGCUGCUGGUCACUCCCCUCCAAGGCCCUGUGCCAUUCAUUCCAGCACAUGACUUCACCCAUCUGGUCACUGGGCAAAAGGGGGCGAAGCCGACCAGUCUUUUUGCUGCAGAGGGAUGAGCCAGUUCAAUGCCCCCGAGAGAUGGCCCCACUAAGCAAGAACUGGAACAUAUUAAAAGAAAAUACAACUCACCAUGAGAGCCAUGGCCUAAUUAUAUUCAUUUACCUGGGAGCAGGCACUGGAUGCCCUCAAGGGAGAGCCUGCCACUUCAUCCCAAAAUAGAAUUCUGAAAGACAGUGUGUGCUCUGAGAGACACUAAGGAUCUUUAUAGAACAGAGCUUUGUUUCUCCAAAAGAAGAGCAUUUCCUUUUUACUUCACACUGCCAGCCUAAUGUCGAAACUGACUGUUGGCACUUCCCUCCUGAAAUGCCUGUUGGAAAAUGGAAAGGCAGUUUUAGCCCUGGGCUCCCUUGCCAUAAAAGGAUUCAGGGGGAUAAGGCAGGCCCUGGAUCUGGGGCAGCAAUUCCUUAUAUUGUAUCAAAAGUCUUUCAUGCUGCCUAGCCUUUCAUGUAGCUCUGAAGCAGCUUUAUCGAUGUAUGCUAAGUAAACAUAGCUUUGUUUUUGUCUCUCACCCACUGCCCUCCCUCUCAGAGCAGACUGUAGUUGGAUUCCAGCCAGAGCCGCUGCUGCAGCAGUUAGAGCCACCUCCUCCACACAGGAGCACGGUUUCCAGGGUGAGGCAAUGCGUCUGCAAUUCGAAGAGACAAGGCAGGAAUUGUAAUUGUAGCUCAUCAUGUGAUGACUUAUGAAAGAGGAAGUUGGUAUGUUUUAGUCACGUAGACUCUGCCCUCUUGCUUAAGGUUCCAGGUCCUCUCAGACGAAGGUCAGGAUUAUCUUUGCCACUCAGAGUCAAGGUUACCAGGUUGGUUGCAGCAUGCCCCUACACAUUCCGAAGGGGCCAGGCGGGCAGAUAUGUGCCGAGUGUUGGCACAGCAGUGGGUUGAGGGUGGCUUUUUACCAAAACACUGAUACACUGUGAUUUGUCUUAAGAACUAAAGAAGAUAUUCUAUGGGGAGCAUUCCUGCUGAGACUAGACAAGUCUUUACUAGCUGUAAUUUCUAAAUUAAAAAAAUUUUUUUAAUAAAAGCCACAGUUUAGGAGUAAAAGGAAAGCCAUUCAGUGUGAUACUGUCAAAAAGCAGGAGUAAGGGAAGUGGCCCCAAAGGCAAGCCAGAGGAAGCAGUUCUGAGGGAUGCAUGGUAGGCAGUACAGACCUCACCUUGCACACUGAGGUGUGCAGGGGCUUGCAUCCUGUGAGUGGGUGUUCAUCUCUGAAACGAAUCUAGGCCCCAAGUGCAUGCCAGUCCUGGUGUCCUUGCUCACACACUGAAGCCCUAGACCACCUUCUACAGGGUAAAGAAGUGCUUGCUACUAAGGACCCUGAUGGAACUCUGCCCCAGGACAUGCAGUCUCAGGAAGGGUUUAGCCUCCUGCCCUCAUCAGCUGGUGGGUGCUGUCCAGGCAUGGCAUUCCUUGGGACUGCCAAGUUCAUGGGUUCCAUCCUAUAUCUAGAUGUGGAAAGGCAGCCUUCAUUCUUUACAGUGCAGCUUCUUUAAAUAGCCAUGAUGUUGCAGCCUAAGAAAAGCUUCUUCAACUCUGACCUCGGCAUUUUUGAAGAAGGAAAAAAUGCAGCCACGUGCCAUUUAGAUUUUUGUGGAUGUCAUUGCAGAUGCCUUGUGGGGCAUUGGUACCGUAAAACUAGAAGAACGCGUAAUACUCUGGGCUUUCCACUUUUAAAAAGUUAUAAAUACAUAUUUGAACAUAUUUAUUUGUUUAUGUGAAUACAUCUACACAAACUGUGGAGUGCAGUGACAUAAAUGAACCUUCUGUAAUUAGUGGGAGAGAAUUUUUUCUAAGUAAAGGCAUUUUAUGGGAUAAUUUCACCGAUUUUUAGAUUGCAAAUAUCCUUUUUAAGAAGCACUUUCCCUCUGCUUGACCUCUCCCUGCAGCCUGCCUCCCCUGUGCAGGGAGAGAAUUUAGAUAUGAAAGAGACUUUUGCAUGUGGAGGGUCUAAGAAUCAGGCCAAAUAAAAUCACAGGAGCUCUUAAUCAUCCACAUAUUAUCUGCAGAAGCUGCCGCCACCAGCCUGUGUGUCCACAUUCAUAUAGCUCCUCAUCUAGAACAAAAUUUGGG
ensembl:lncRNA